AAAAAUUAGGUGUUUAUAUAAAAUGUGGAUGUACAAACACACUCUCACUCUUCACUUUUUUGUGUGUGUUCCACUUAGUAAAUUAUUAAUGAGUUUUGUUAAAAUAUAAUGAUGUAUAUUAAUUUUAUAAUUUUAUAAUGAUGAAUUAAAGAUAUUUUUUAAUGAUAAUAUAUAUCAAAGAUAAGUACAAUCAAAAUAAUAAUUCAGUAAAUCUCUCAUAAGAUUAAUCUCAGCAAAAGUAGUGUCCAAUUAGAAAGAAAAAAAAUAUUACACUAGAAAAAUCAAAAAACAAAUAAAAGUGACACUUUCAAAGAGAC
rnacentral:lncRNA from 1 species